GAGCAAGGUUCUCUAGUAUAGCUUGAGCUACAUCCCUUUCGUGAGGUCCAUGGUUUCAAAUAAUUGCAAGGUGUGCAUGCA